UACGAAGGGGGCUAGCGUUGCUCGGAAUUACUGGGCGUAAAGGGAGCGUAGGCGGACAGUUAAGUCAGUGGUGAAAGCCCAGGGCUCAACCCUGGAACUGCCUUUGAUACUGAUUGUCUUGAGUAUGGGAGAGGUAUGCGGAACUCCGAGUGUAGAGGUGAAAUUCGUAGAUAUUCGGAAGAACACCAGUGGCGAAGGCGGCAUACUGGCCCAUUACUGACGCUGAAGCUCGAAAGCGUGGGGAGCAAACAGG
rnacentral:rRNA from 1 species